rnacentral:rRNA from 1 species
UACGUAGGGACCAAGCGUUGUCCGGAAUCAUUGGGCGUAAAGCGCGCGUAGGUGGCCAUUUAAGUCCGCUGAUGAAAGUCAGAGGCUCAACCUUUGAAAGCCGGUGGAUACUGGAUGGCUAGAGUACGGAAGAGGCGAGUGGAAUUCCUGGUGUAGCGGUGGAAUGCGCAGAUAUCAGGAGGAACACCGAUAGCGAAGGCAGCUCGCUGGGACGGUACUGACGCUGAGGUGCGAAAGCGUGGGGAGCGAACAGG